UCUUCAAAAUUUUAUUUAUUUGUACUAUUAAAAUUUGACAUGAUUGAUAGAAUAAGUAGACAAUGAUAUGUGAUGUGCUACGUGUACCUCAUGUUAAAGCACAAGUAUCACUUUUUAACAGUAUAAAUAGAUAAAAUUUUUAACA
rfam:Gossypium hirsutum cultivar TM-1 unplaced genomic scaffold scaffold913.1, whole genome shotgun sequence